UCUACCCAAGACAUUGGCUGUCAGACUGAUUUAGUAAUCUGCAAGAAUGCACUUGUCCAGGCUGACGUGAAGCCUUACCCGUAGCGAAGGUGAAUUAUUUUUAAUAAUCUUCUAUGUAAACAUUUUAUUACCUUCUAGUUUUAAUUUGUUUUACAGAUUGUUACGCAUGAUUUUAUGCUCUUUUAAACGUUUAUAAAUAUGCUGCUUCUUUGUUUUUUAUAGAGCUCCCAGCCGCAGUGUGUUUUGUGACACAGAGACCAUGACAGAAAUUCAUCUUCUAGAAAGUCCCAGAGCAGCGUCCACACCCCCCUGAAAAGACCAAGAUGUGAGGUGUCUGCUGUCGAUUCCAGCUUCCACCUCAGUGACAGUGCAAGCUCAGUGAACUGUUCAAGGAAAAAAAUUAAAACAUUUCUGAAUUUUUAAGAUAUUAACAAUUAAAUAAGUAUGUGAUUACAUCAUGAAGGAGGCUACUGAUUCUGCCCCUUUGACACUUGGUGGUGACGUGUGAGCUGAUUCACCUGGACACUCAGCAAAAUAUGGACUCUACACCAUGAGGCAGGCACACGUUAAUACUCAAUAAGAGCACAUAAGCCUGGCUGAUCACCUGAUAACUCCUGUCAUCUGGUUAUGACAGCAUGAGGAUGUCCUCACACACCUGUAACCUAUCAGCUCAUCUGGCAGAAUAGAGAGAGAAGAGACAGCACCACAUCUCCUGUUCCUGGAAAGCCUUCAGCCAUCCUUCGAUGACCGAGAACCUCCAUCAGCUCUGUCUCCUGUCUGCCUACAAUUAUUAUAAUAAAUAUUGUGUUUGACAAGUUUUUGUGCUGCCAAAUAUCUCAUUUUGAUUACAGUUUUGAUAUUUUAAUGGAUAUUUAUAAAUUACAUUAAUUGAAUUAUCACAUUGUUGCAUGUUUAUCUAGCUCUAUUGUGAUGAAUUAAACUAGCACCUCACUGUUAAAAGCUCGUUUUAAUUUCAAGCAUGUUUAAGUAUUUAUGGACAUGAACAAAAACAGGAAAUAUAUAAAUUGAGAUUUAUUUAAUUAAUAUAACAAAUAAGAGGGAAUGAGUCAUUGAAAGGCACAUUCUUCUGGAAGCUCCUGAUCCUGACGACACCAGCAGAGACCAGCUGCAGACACCAGAGGAUCACCUGCAACCAAGAGCAGCUAGUAUCAGU